rnacentral:tRNA from 1 species
GUGGGUAUAGCUCAGUGGUUGAGCACAUACUUAGCAUGCACGAGGUCCUGGGUUCAACCCCUAGUACCUCCA